rnacentral:misc_RNA from 1 species
AACGCACAUUGCGCUCCCUGGCAUUCCGGGGAGCAUGCCUGUCCGAGCGUCAUUUCUGCCCUCAAGCGCGGCUUGUGUGUUGGGCGUGGUCCCCCCCCUUGCGGGGGGACCUGCCCGAAAGGCAGCGGCGACGUUCCGCCCAGGUCCUCGAGCGUAUGGGGCUUUGUCACCCGCUCGGGACGGAUCUGCGGGCGUCGGUCAUCCACGAUUCUUUCCACGGUUGACCUCGGAUCAGGUAGGAGUUACCCGCUGAACUUAA